rnacentral:rRNA from 1 species
UACAGAGGGUGCAAGCGUUAAUCGGAAUUACUGGGCGUAAAGCGUGCGUAGACGGUUACAUAAGUCGGGUGUGAAAGCCCCGGGCUCAACCUGGGAGUUGCAUUCGAGACUGCGUAGCUAGGGUGCGGAAGAGGGAAGCGGAAUUUCCGGUGUAGCGGUGAAAUGCGUAGAUAUCGGAAGGAACACCAGUGGCGAAAGCGGCUUCCUGGUCCAGCACCGACGUUCAGGCACGAAAGCGUGGGGAGCAAACAGG